GGCUCAGGACGAACGCUGGCGGCGUGCCUAAUACAUGCAAGUCGAGCGGAUCUUUCCUUAAGUAGCUUGCUACUUUAAGAAGGUUAGCGGCGGGACGGGUGAGUAACACGUAGGCAACCUGCCCAUAAGACCGGGAUAACAUUCGGAAACGAAUGCUAAGACCGGAUACGCAAAAGGAGGGCAUCAUCCUUUUUGGGAAACACGGUGCAAGCUGUGGCUUAUGGAUGGGCCUGCGGCGCAUUAGCUAGUUGGUGGGGUAACGGCCUACCAAGGCGACGAUGCGUAGCCGACCUGAGAGGGUGAACGGCCACACUGUGGAAACUGAGACACGGCCCAGACUCCUACGGGGAGGCCAGCAGUUAGGGAAUUCUUCCACAAUGGGCGCAAGCCUGAUGGAGCAACGCCGCGUGAGUGAGGAAGGCUUUCGGGUCGUAAAAGCUCUGUUGCCAGGGAAGAAUAAGGGCGAGGUAACUACUCGUCCGAUGACGGUACCUGAGAAGAAAGCCCCGGCUAACUACGUGCCAGCAGCCGCGGUAAUACGUAGGGGGCAAGCGUUGUCCGGAAUUAUUGGGCGUAAAGCGCGCGCAGGCGGUUUCUUAAGUCUGGUGUUUAAGUGCGGGGCUCAACCCCGUGUCGCAUCGGAAACUGGGAGACUUGAGUGCAGAAGAGGAGAGCGGAAUUCCACGUGUAGCGGUGAAAUGCGUAGAGAUGUGGAGGAACACCAGUGGCGAAGGCGGCUCUCUGGACUGUAACUGACGCUGAGGCGCGAAAGCGUGGGGAGCCCAAACAGGGAUUAGAUACCCUGGUAGUCCACGCCGUUAAACGAUGAGUGUUCUAGGUGUUGGGGGGGUCCACCCCUCGGUGCCGAAGUUAACACACUUAAGCACUCUCGCCCUGGGGAUGUACGGUCGCAAGACUGAAACUCAAAGGAAUUGACGGGGAACCCGCACAAGCAGUGGAGUAUGUGGUUUAAUUCGAAGCAACGCGAAGAACCUUUACCAGGUCUUGACAUCCCUCUGACCGUUCCUAGAGAUAGGGCUUCCCUUCGGGGCAGAGGAGACAGGUGGUGCAUGGUUGUCGUCAGCUCGUGUCGUGAAAUGUUGGUUGAANUUCCGGCAACAAGCCCAACCCUGGAAUUUAUUUCCCACCACUUUGGGUGGGCACUCUAGAUUGACUGCCGGUGACAAACCGGAGGAAGGCGGGGAUGACGUCAAAUCAUCAUGCCCCUUAUGACCUGGGCUACACACGUACUACAAUGGCCGGUACAACGGGUUGCGAAGGAGCGAUCCGGAGCCAAUCCUAUAAAGCCGGUCUCAGUUCGGAUUGGAGGCUGCAACUCGCCUCCAUGAAGUCGGAAUUGCUAGUAAUCGCGGAUCAGCAUGCCGCGGUGAAUACGUUCCCGGGUCUUGUACACACCGCCCGUCACACCACGAGAGUUUACAACACCCGAAGCCGGUGGGGUAACCGCAAGGAGCCAGCCGUCGAAGGUGGGGUAGAUGAUUGGGGUGAAGUCGUAACAAGG
rnacentral:rRNA from 1 species